UCUAGUGAAACGUAAUUUUAA
rnacentral:piRNA from 1 species